AACGAACGCUGGCGGCAGGCUUAACACAUGCAAGUCGAGCGCCCCGCAAGGGGGGCGGCAGACGGGUGAGUAACGCGUGGGAAUCUACCCAUCUCUACGGAAUAACGCAUGGAAACGUGUGCUAAUACCGUGUACGUCCUUCGGGAGAAAGAUUUAUCGGAGAUGGAUGAGCCCGCGUUGGAUUAGCUAGUUGGUGGGGUAAAGGCCUACCAAGGCGACGAUCCAUAGCUGGUCUGAGAGGAUGAUCAGCCACACUGGGACUGAGACACGGCCCAGACUCCUACGGGAGGCAGCAGUGGGGAAUAUUGGACAAUGGGCGAAAGCUUGAUCCAGCCAUGCCGCGUGAGUGAUGAAGGCCCUAGGGUUGUAAAGCUCUUGCACCGGUGAAGAUAAUGACGGUAACCGGAGAGGAAGCCCCGGCCAACUUCGUGCCAGCCGCCGCCGUAACAC
rnacentral:rRNA from 1 species